rnacentral:rRNA from 1 species
UACGUAGGCAGCAAGCGUUGUUCGGAGUUACUGGGCGUAAAGAGUGCGUAGGCGGUGUCGAAAGUUUGGCGUGAAAUCUCCCGCUUAACUGGGAGGGUGCGCCGAAAACUGCGGUGCUGGAGUGUGGGAAAGGCAAGCGGAAUUCCUGGUGUAGCGGUGAAAUGCGUAGAUAUCAGGAGGAACACCGGCGGUGUAGACGGCUUGCUAGACCAUAACUGACGCUGAUGCACGAAAGCUAGGGGAGCAAACAGG